UUGAAUAGGAAGUAAAUGAAGUCAUAAGCCUCAAAGGAAUCAAAUCGCACGAUGAGGAAUCAAGAUGGAAGUGCUUCUAACAGAUUCGCGAGACUCUACUAGACCCGCUCAUGACUCGUGAGACCUAAGUGAACCUAGUGCUCUGAUACCAUAUCAUCACGACCCAAAAUCCAUUAAGGGUCGUGAUGGCGUCGGACACUGCUGUCAGGCAAGCCAAAAAUAACUACUUAAUUUGGUAAUCAUUUUAAUAUUUCUGAAAUCAUAUUUCCUUCAAUUAAAUAGUAAAAGAUGGAAUUUACAGAAUAAAUAAUAAUAUUUUUAACAAUUUCAAUACAGGACAACCUAUACUCACCCCAAAAUCCGGUGUCACAAGCGCAUGAGCAUCAACUAGGAAGUAAAAUAAAAUACAGCAUCUGUCCGGAAUACAAAUUGGACAGGAAUAAUAUAAAUACUCUGAAGGAGACUCUGUUGGCUGCGGAUCGUGGUAUAGAGUGCAGCUCUCCUAAAUCCCUGCAAUAACCGUGUCUGUGCGCCCACAAGGCCACUAGACUGAUAUGUACCUGCACAAAAAUGUGCAGCAAGUGUAGCAUGAGUACGUAAAUCAACACGUACCUAGUAAGUAUCCCGCCUAACCUCGAAGAAUUAGUGACGAGGGGUCGACUUCGACACUUACUAUGGGCAAAAAAUAAAGUAUCAAUGAUAUAAUUAAGCAUGAAUUACGUAGAACGGCUGUAAGCUCAAUAUUCAUGAAAUAAGUAAACAAUUCUUUUGUUAAUAAGAAAUUUCAAAAUUUAUUUUCGUCAUUUAACAUUUUUGUAUCUCGGGCCAAUAAAAGCAAUAUCAAUUAUUAUCAACUCUAGAGAUAUAUUAUGCGCAAAUCAUGCUGAGGUCGUACGGCCCGAUCUAACAUAAAUAUUUAAAUUGUGCACUGCCGAGGGUCGAACGGCGUAAAUCAUAGAUGCAUCUAUCUGCUACCGAGGCGUUCGGCCCGCUCCACAAAAUAGAAAACACAUUAAACAACCAAUUCAAGAGUUAUUAAGGGGCAAAUAUUUCAAGAAUUUCAAAUUCUCAUUUAACGGUCAAGUAGAUGAAGUUUAACCUUUUUAUAAUCCCCUUAUCGAAUUUCUAAAUGUUUUAAACAAUUCAAUUAACAAGUAGGGCGCACACAUCGCAAGUACAACAUGAUAUGGGUCCUAGACUACCCGGACAUAAGUAUAAUAGUAGCUACGCAUGGACUCUCAUCACCUCGGCAUACGUAGCGACCACAAAUAGAAACACAUAAUGAUUUGAUUCACCUUUGGGGUUAAUUCCCUCUUACAAGGUUAGAAAGGAGACUUACCUCGCUCCGAAAUUUCAUAACCGGCUCCCAAGCCCUUCCAACAACUCAAAACGAUGCCCAUCGCUCCAAAACUAGUCAAUAAAGGUGCAAAUCCAUAAAUAUAUACUCUAAUACUCAUUAUAAAUCAAUUUACAACAAUUUCCAACUCCGCUCGAAAAGUCGAUAAAAGUCACCCUCAGGCCCACGCAUCCGGAUUUCGAAAAUUUUUAAAGACAAACACUACGCAUAGCACUACGAACUCAUAUAUAUAAUUUAUUCCCAAUUCCAUGUCCCAUUUCAUGGUCAAAAUCCAAAAAUACCAAAUUUCUAGGUUUUUCUUCAAAAUCCCAAAUUUUUUACAAAUUUCCAUGUUUGUAUCCAUAUAUAAAUCAAGUAUUUAACUUACAAUAGGUGUGAAUCACUUACCUUGUCAUAGAUGAUGAAAAUCUCCCCUUGAAACUCUCCAAAAUCGCCCCUAACAAGUGAAAAAUGGGAGAAAAAUGAACCAAAGUCCUGUUCUUAAAUCAAUCUGCCCAGCUGACCUUCCGCACCUGCGGUACAUCAGCCGCAUCUGUGGCCAAAACCUCGCACCUGCGCAUAUCUUCUUCCCAGCACAGCUCCGCACCUGCGAUGUCAAACGCGCCCCUGCGGUCUCGCACAUGCGGAGACUUUCCGCUUUUGCGACUCCAGCUGCCAGCUCGCAUUCCUCUUCUGCGGAGCUUUCCUCGCAUCUGCGGGCUUGCAGAUGCGGAAACAUUCUCGCAUCUGUGGCCAUCCCAGCUCCAUCCAAAUAUCGCUUCUGCGACCACAUCGUCGUACAUGCGGGCUCGCACCUGCGGCCCUUUUCUCGCAGGUGCGAUUGCACCAGAUAUCGGCUGCCUCAGCAUUUCUUCCAAGUCUAAACUCGAUUCGUUAACCAUCCGAAAUCUACCCGAAACCCUCGGGACCUCAACCAAAUAUACCAACACAUCCCAAAACAUAUUAUGAACUUAGUUGAGCCUUCGAAUCACAUCAAACAACGCUAAAAUCAUGAAUCGCACCCCAAUUCAAGCUUAAUGAAAUUUAGAACUUCAAACUUUUACCUUCGAUGUUGAAACCUAUCAAAUCACGUCCGAUUGACCUCACAUUUUGCACACAAGUCACAUUUGACAUUACAUACCUACUCUAACUUCCGGAAUCGAAAUUCGAAGCCAAUACCAAAAAGUCCACUCCCGGUCAAAUUUCUCAAAAACCUUUAAAUUCCAACUUUCGCCAAAUGACCUUUAAAUGGCCUACGGACCUCCAAAUCUACAUCCGGACGCGCUCCCAAUACCAGAAUCACCAUACGGAGUUAUUCCCAGGCUUAGAAUUUUAAAUGGACAUCGAUAACAUUGAAAUACACUUUAACCCAAAUUUAUAAAAUCUUUCAAAAAUGCCAACUUCCAUAAUAGGCACCGAAAUACUCCCAGGUCAAUCAAAACCCGGUCCGGACAUAAGCUAAAGUCCAAAAUCAUCAUACAACCCUGUUGGAACCUUCAAAUCCCGAUUCUGAGGUCGUUUACUAAAAGUCAACCCUUAGUCAAUUCCUCCAACUUAAAGCUUCUAAAUUUAGAAUUUUCUCUCCAAAUCAAUUCCGAACUCCUCGAAAUUCAAUUCCGACCACACGCACAAGUCAUCAUACCUUACAUGAAACUACUCAAGUUCUCAAACCGUCGAACGACGCGCUAAAGCUCAAAAUGACCGGUCGGAUCGUUACAGGUAUUGAUUGGAUAACUUAGAAUUGAGAGCUAUAAUACACCCCAAUCAAUAAAAUAAGUGUUAACGUAAUUAACCUAUUAGGCGAACACCUAGGCAAAGGUUACAUCCCUAAGCUUUUUACCUAUUUGAAAAUAGCUAAAAAUAAUUAGUCAAUUUCUAGCUUCAUUUCUCUAGUUGAUUAUUGAUAGUUUAGUUUAUAGAAGUAAUUUGUAAAACCAACUUGAUUGGAAGUGUAUUUAAGCCGUUUUAUCUUCACGCGUCAAGUAUACACCCUAACACCCAUUGUUAGCUCCCUGAGAAAAUCGACCUUGACCCAUAGUUGGGUACUAUUCUUCCAAUAACCUCUUCCACUCAUUGUUGAGUGUGGAUUGGGAGUGGAUCAAUAAUCAAUUUUCUUUAUCCAAAAUAGUAAUAAUUGGCUCUUCCAGAGCUCUCAAUUAAUUUUGUACUGCCACAUAUUCACCAACAUCCAUAUGGUGAAUAUCUCUUUCAAGGAGAAAUUUAUACCAUUAUGGUCAUGGUCAAAAUUAUUAUAGGCAAGAUAUGUUGCUUCAAUAACUUUUCCCCUAUAAUAAUCACAUUGCCAUAACAUUUUAGCAUAAUCACAAUAGGUACAUGAUCAAUGAUAUUCAUGCCAUAAUCAUGAAAUUAUUUUCUUAUUUCAUCUCAAACCUCCUUCUAGAGGUGAGUGUGGUAUAUUCACAACCUCUAGCAUGUUCAUAUUCUUCCAAGAAUAAAUAUGUAUUCAUAAAUCAUAUGUUGUCACAUUCACAUCAUGAAUGGACUAUAAUCAUCUAUAUGUGUUUUACAAAAUCUCAUGUCAAAUCUAUGACAAACAUUAAUUUCACAUAGUGAAGGAUUAUUUUGAGAAUCCUUAUUGUUCUCAUUACCACAAUGAGGACGAUUAUAAUUUCGUCUAUUGCCACGUCCCCAUCCAUUGAUGCCUUCACAGUAAUAAUUUUAUCUUCUUUCAGACUUAUCACAUACUGCAACCACAUUCUCUUAAGGGAACGAGAAUAAAGCAUAUUUAAUGGGACGAGUUUUCACUUCUUGUGCUCAUAAUCAUACGUGAAUUUGAUCAUGGCAAGACAUAGAAAUUUUACCAUUUCGGGUGAUUAUAAUUUCUCACAAACUCUAUUAGAGUAAUGAUAAAAUUUUAUUAUCUUUGUUUGUAUUUAAAAUCAAAUUAUAGAAUUUCAAUAAUGUAAAAGAGAAAAAUAAAGUAAAAUACUUACCUUAAGUCCAGAAUUUUUCUUGCAGGAAGUUCAUGGAACAACUGACAAUCUUUAUGCUCAAUAUUAUGUAUGAGCUGAGUACCAUGCACGUAUCCCAAAGUCAGGUGACCGAAGCAGAUGCUUAGUAUAGGAAUAUUAAUGUAUUCACCCCAAGAGCCUCACGCAAAUUCCUAUAUCUUCUCUCCCCGGGUGGUUUAAUUUCUCAAACACUAGACAACUAAUUAAUAGUAUAUCUAUAAAUCAAAACUACUGCCCUCUACUCAAUUGGUUAGAGUCUCGUGUUGAUAACGCGUUAUAAAAUAAUAAAAGAAGAAGAGUAUUAUAGAGAAAAGUAGAGAGAGAAUUCUUGUUGAUUGUGAUAAACUUCAAUGAAAUAGAACCUCUUUAUUUAUAGGGAAAAUGUGACUUGGCCACAAAGUAACAAACCCUAAAAUCUCUCUAAAAUAUAGACAUUUACCUUAAAUACAAUUCUAUUUAUAACAAUCCUUUAAGUCUUACUCUGCUUCUAUGCUUGCAUUUUCAUUCUUUGUGCUUUAUUUUUUUCAAUUUUUUUUUUUUUGCAUUCUUUAAUUUAUUCUUUUCGAGUUAGUUUUUGAUUUUAGAAUUUCUUUCGUUGUAGUUUAGAUACUGUUUUGAAAUGCUUGUCUCUAUUCUGGCUAUUUAUAUUACUAGUAUCAUGAUACGCGCGUUGUGCGUGAACACUAUCUCGAUGAGUAUGAACUAUUAAAAAUUAUAAAUUAUUAUAAUAAAAAUUAUAUUUGAGUGCUAAAAUAAAAGCUAAAGAAAAAAAUAUGAGUUUUUGAAAAUAGUAUUUGUUGAUCCUAUCUCGUUAACACAAUAAACAUAGAAUUUAUACCCCAUAUAAGCCCUCAAUCAUAUCAAUUAAUAUAUUCAACUUAAAAAUUAUUGAAAAUUUUAUAAUAUCGAUACUGCAAUUUCACAAGUUAUGAUUCUUCAUUUUUUAUUUUAGCAAGAACGCAUUAACCCUUGAAAAUUUAAGAGUUAUUUUAUUCCGUUAAUUUUUUUGGAAAGCAAUAUAUUCUUAAGUUCAUCAUAAAAAGAUACAAACAAAGUCAAGUAACUGACAAAAGAUGUCCUUUUUUUCUCGAUGAGAAAAUACAAAUUGUGCUAUUACUUUAAUCCAUAAGAAAAAAUAUAGUAAAUAUUUCAACAAAUUAGUAAGGAACUAAUCGUCUAUGAUUGUAAUAGAAUUACAUAUAAUUCACGGAUUCUAAAAAGACGAUGUUAAUACUAUCCUAGAAGCAUUAAAUUAAAAUAUAAACUUUAUGUUAAAAUCAAAAUUAGAUUUAGUUCUACAUGUUAGACAAAAUCUUAAUGCUUGAAGAAAAAAUUAUUUUUUCCAAAGGAAUAAAAGUUGAUGUGCACAUCAAUUUUGACUCUGUGGCAAUGAACUCUAUAUAACUCACUUUAUAAAAUUUUAGGGUGUUAGGUAUCUUAAAUAAUUAUAUUUUUAUUAUCUUUAUUUUCUCGAACAUCAACAACUAUUUUAAUUCUUUGACAAAAUUUGUUUUUCAAAUUCAACACAUGACAAAUAACCAAAAUGUUAUUUUCAAAAUAAUUCUUCCAACCAACACUAACAAUAUUUUUUCAAAGCCAAAAUCUUCAUUGUUUUUAUAAAUAGAAUAUUUGGCUUUAUUCUUUAUACUUUCAAGCUUCAUAAUCUAUUAAAGACAUUUUGGUUUGUUUGUAUCUAGAGGAAGAAAAGUACUCAUAGUUGCAACAUUAAGUAUGUCCAUCAAACGUUCUUUUUUGGAAUUAUUAGGAUUAUUAUUCUAUAUGGAAGAAGCAUACUUAUAAUUACGUGGUAGUAAUUAUUUUAUUCAAUUCAAAUAAGGAGAGAUUUAUAAAAGCUUGCAUGAAUUUAAAUUCUUGAAUAUUAGAACUUCUUAGAUAGAACAAAUAAGCAAAUAUUUAAUAACCAUAAUUUUAGUUGAGUUCAAAGUCCUAAAUAUUAGAAAAAUAAAAGUCCUAACUAUUAGAAAAAUAACUGAAUUACUAUUUUGUUUGGUGUAAAAUCUAACUUUAAAGAGUGAAAAAGAGAACGAUGUUUUACUAAGGUGAUUCAUACUUUUAAUAUAGUAUAGAUAUAGAUAAUGAGUAUUUGUAAUUUAUUAUCUAGUUAGGUUUUUAAAUAAUAACUUUAUAUUACGUCCUUUUAAAUGUUUGAAUUACUAGGAACUAGAAUAUCUUUUUACAACUCUAAGUAUGUUCCAUCAUAGUCAUGUUAUAGGUGUAAUCUACCUUUAUGUCUUUUGCUUUUUCAAGUAAAAAUAUAUGCUUAGACCACGAAUCUUACCUUCUGAACAAGAAACAUAUCAACUAGCACGUAGCACAAACAAACCAAAAGAUCCCACCAUAUCCAACCACCCACCCUCCAAACCUACAUACCUCCAUAAAUUAAAUCUGUCGUCACCAACUACCCACUUAGACUACGAAUCUUACCUCUCACCUCUCUCACCCUUAAUGACAAAAACAACCAUGUCAAUCACCCACAAUUUAUCCCAAUUAUUAGGCAUGAAAAAAUCAGACUAUACAGUCCAUGGACCCAAUCUGUUAUUGUCAAACUACUUGGACCAAAGGUGUCCUACAACUUCCUAAAAAAUAAAUAUCACAACCCAAAACCUAACCUGUCGUGAUGGUGCCUAUCUCAAUACUAGGCAAGUCGACAAUCUCACUAAACCACAUAUCUUUUAAAUUUGAAAACAUAAUGAUUAAAUUUAGUGGAAAAAAUCUCACGAGUACAAAUAUAAAUACUCCCAAAACCUGAUGUCACUGAGUACAUAAACAUCUAAUAUGAAUACAAGUCUGAAAAAUACGGUUUAUAAUAGUCUGAGACCAAAUACAAUGAACAAGGAGAUAGAGAAGGAGAGGCAAUGUUGGCAAAAUAUGGCAGCUACCUCUGAAUCUCCAAAAAAUCAACUGUACAAAGGAAUCAAUACCCGCUAUGUCCGAAAAUACCUGGAUCUGCACACAAAGUGCAGGGUGUAGUAUAAGUACAACCAACUCAGCAAGUAACAAUAAUAAAUAAGGAACUGAAGAUAGUGACGAGCUACACAGUUAUAGAUCAUUUUAAGUAAUUCCAGCAAAGAAUAGACACGCUUUCAAAUCCGGCAGUUUAAGUCAAAUCAGUUUUAUACAGUUCAAGUUCAGGUAAUUCGGAUAUAAAAUCUUUCAGAAAUUUCACAACAAUGACAGAUAGCAACUAAGUGCAACAACAAAUAAAAAGCAAGUACAGCCUCUCAGGGCAACAGUCACUCAACUCAUCACAACACCUCAAUCACUCGGCUCUCAGUCCUCAGUACUCACACUCAAUAGGUACCUGCGCUCACUGGGGGUGUACAGACUCCGGAGGGGCUCCUACAGUCCAAACGCUAUAAUCUGCACUGACAACUCAUGUGCUAUAAUAUCAAUAUCCGAAUUCGCACGGACAACUCACGUGCUAUAAUAUUAAUAUCUUGAUCUGCACGGACAAUUCACGUGUUGCACAGACAACUCACGUGCUAUAGUAUAAUAUAAGAAUUCGCACGGACAACUCACGUGCUGCACGGAUAACUCACGUGCUAUAGUAUAAUAUCUCACAAUCAGGCCCUCGGCCUCACUCAAUUAUAAAUCUCUCCAGUCUCUCAAUCUCUCAAUAGUCAUGAUAAUUAUCCCAAACAACAAUAAUAUGAUGCAUCAAUAAUGAACAAUAGAGACUGGGAUAAAAUAAAUAAGUAAAUUGCGACUGAGUACAAAAUAACAAUUUAGCAGAUAAUUCAACAUGUACACGACCUCUGUCGUCUUUACAGCACCAACACAUAGCCUAACCAUGAUUCACUGUCAAAUUUUUAUAGCACAGAAAGGGCACAUAGCUAACAACAACCUUAUUCACUUUCUAGUUUCACAGAAUGGACCAAGUCUUAAUUUCCACGGUGCACACCCACACGCCCGUCAUCUAGCAUGUGCGUCACCUCCAAAAUACUCGCAUAAUAUAAUAAUUCGGGGUUUCAUACCCUCAGGACCAUAUUUAAAACUGUUACUUACCUGAAACCGCAUAAUUCUUUAUUUCGCUAUGCCUUUAUCUCGUGAAUUGGCCUCCAAACGCCUCGAAUCUAGCCACAAUGUCACGACCCAAAAUCUCACCCAUCGUGAUGGCGCCUAUCUCAGUACUAGGCAAGCCGAUAAUCUCAAUAAACCACCAUAUCCUUUGAGUUUGAAAACAUAAUAUCUAAAUUUAGCGGAAGAAAAACUCACAAAUACAUAUAUAAACACUCCAAAAACCCGGUGUCACUAAGUACACGAGCAUCUAAUAUGAAUACAAGUCUGAAAAAUACGGUCCAUAAUAGUCUGAGACCAAAUGCAGUAAAUAAGGAGAUAGGGAAGGAGAGGCAAGGUCUGCGAAACAUGGCAGCUACCUCUGAAUCUCCGAAAAAUUAACUGUGCGAAAGAAAUCAACACCCGAUAUGGCCGGGAAUACAUGAAUCUACAUACGAAGUCCAGGGUAUAGUAUGAAUACAACCAACUCAGUAAGUAACAAUAAUAAAUAAAGAACUGAAGAUAGUGAUGAGCUACACANNNNNNNNNNNNNNNNNNNNNNNNNGGAUAUAAAAUCUUUCAGAGAAUUUCACAGCAAUAACAGAUAGCAACUAAGUGCAACAACAAAUGAAAAGCAAGUACAGCCUCUCAGGGCAACAAUCACUCAACUCGUCACAACAAAUCAACCACUCGGCUCUCAGCCCUCAGCACUCACACUCAAUGGGUACCCGCGCUUACUAGGGGUGUACAAACUCCGGAGGGGCUCCGACAGUUCAAGCGGUAUAAUCCACAUGGACAACUCGCGUGCUAUAGUAACAAUAUCUGAAUCCGCACGGACAACUCACGUGCUAUAGUAUAAUAUAAGAAUUUGCACGGAUAACUCACGUGUUACACAGACAACUCAUAUGAUAUAGUAUAAUAUCUCAUAAUCAGGCCCUCGGCCUCACUCAGUCAUAAAUCUCUCCAGUCUCUCGGGCUCUCAAUAAUCAUGAAAUCGGCCCAAACAACAAUGAUAUGAUGCAUCAAUAAUGAACAAUAGAGACCUAGAUAAAAUAACAAGUAAACUAUGACUGAGUACAAAACAACAAUUUAGCAGAUAAUUCAAUAUGUACACGACCUCUGUGGGUCCCUACAGUGCCAAUAUAUAAUCUAAACAUGAUUUCUAACAUGAUUUAUACUCAAAUUUCUACAACACAUAGAGAGCAUAUAGCUAACAACAAGUUAUUCAACUUUACAGUUUCACGGAACGGACCAAUUCACAAUCCCCUCGGUGCACGCCCACACGCCCGUCACCUAGCAUGUACGUCACCUCCAAAAUAAUCGCAUGACAUAAAAAUUCGGGGUUUCAUACCCUCAGUACCAGAUUUAUAACUAUUACUUACCUCAAGCCGUAUAAUUCUUUAUUCUGCAAUGUCUUUUCCUCGUGAAUUGGCCUCCAAACGCCUUGAAUCUAGCCACAAAUAAUUUGAUUCAGUCAAUAAAAUUUAUUAAAAUUAAUUCCUUGAGAAAAUACUAAUUUUCCAACAAAGCCCGAAAUUUAGCUCAAAAUUUGCCCGUGGGGCCCACGUCUCAGAACCCGACAAAAGUUAUAAAAUCCGAAAGCCCAUUCAACCACGAGUCUAACCAUACCAAUUUUUAUCAAAAUCCAAUCUCAACUCGACCCUCAAAUCUUCGAUUUAAACCAAGAGGGUUUUCUAAAUUUUCCAAAUUAAUUCACCCAGUAAAUAAUAAAAAUAGUCAUAGAUUCGGGUAAUUUAACCAAUAUUGAGUUAAGAACACUUACCCCGUUGUUUCCUCUGAAACUCUCCCAAAAAGCGCUUCUUCCCGAGCUCCAAUCCGUCAAAAAUGAAAAAAUUUCAGAACUUAAACUCUCUGCCAAGUCAUUUGCUCUACGCGAUCACGAACAAUCACACAUGAUCGCGAAGAACAGUUUUCCACUGCCCAGGUUUAACCUUACGCGAUCGCGAACAAUCACACGCAAUCGUGAUGCACAAGAUUCCUUCUCUACACGAUCGCAUCCCUCUUCACGCGAUCGCAUAGAACAAACGCGUGGCCCAGCUUCCUCUCAAGUUUUCCCUACGCGAUCACGGCCUCUUCCACGCGUUCACGUAGCACAGACUGGCCCAACUUACGCGAUCGCGGUUGACCUCACGCGAUCGCGAAGAACAAAAUCAACACUGCCUCAACUAAGCCUACGCGAUCGCAUCUCAAUCUUCGCGAACGCGAAGAAGGUCUGAAACACUAGCAAACAGCAGCUACCAGCAGUGCCAAAAUGAAGGAAAAUAAUCCGAAUACCAUCCGAAACACGCCCGAGCCCCUCAGGACCCCAGCCAAAUAUACUAACAAGUCCUAAAAUAUCAUACGAACUUAGUCGAAUUUUCAACUCACAUCCAACAACACUAAAAACACAAAUCACACAUAGAUUCAAGCCUAAUGAACUUUGAAACUUUCAAUUUCUACAAAUGACGUCGGAACCUAUCAAAUCGCGUCCGAUUGACCUCAAAUUUUGUAUACAAGGCAUAAAUGACAUAACAGAGGUAUUUCAAUUUUUAGAAUCGGAUUCCGACCCCGAUAUCAAAAGGUCAGCCCCCGGUCAAACUUCCCGGGAAAUUCAAUUUUUGCCAUUUCAAGAAUAAUUCUUCUACCGACCUCCAAAUAAUUUUUCGGACACGCUCCUAAGUCCAAAAGCACCAUACUGAGCUAUUGGAAUCAUCAAAACUCUAUUUCGGGGUCGUUUACACAUAAGUCAACAUCCUGUCAACUAUUUCAACUUAAGCUUNNNNNNNNNNNNNNNNNNNNNNNNNNNNNNNNNNNNNNNNNNNNNNNNNNNNNNNNNNNNNNNNNNNNNNNNNNNNNNNNNNNNNNNNNNNNNNNNNNNNNNNNNNNNNNNNNNNNNNNNNNNNNNNNNNNNNNNNNNNNNNNNNNNNNNNNNNNNNNNNNNNNNNNNNNNNNNNNNNNNNNNNNNNNNNNNNNNNNNNNNNNNNNNNNNNNNNNNNNNNNNNNNNNNNNNNNNNNNNNNNNNNNNNNNNNNNNNNNNNNNNNNNNNNNNNNNNNNNNNNNNNNNNNNNNNNNNNNNNNNNNNNNNNNNNNNNNNNNNNNNNNNNNNNNNNNNNNNNNNNNNNNNNNNNNNNNNNNNNNNNNNNNNNNNNNNNNNNNNNNNNNNNNNNNNNNNNNNNNNNNNNNNNNNNNNNNNNNNNNNNNNNNNNNNNNNNNNNGGACAGGUCGUUACACACAAAUAAUUCGAUGCAGUCGAUAACAUUUAUUGGAAUUAAUUCCAUAAGAAAAUACUAAUUUUCCAACAAAAUUCGAAAUUUAGCUCAAAAAUCGCCUGUGGGGCCCACAUCUCGGAAUCUGACAAAACUCACAAAAUCCAAUAACUCAUUCAAUUACGAGUCCAACCAUACUAGUUCCACUCAAAUCCGACUUCGGAUCGACAUUCAAAUCCCAAAAAUUUAUUUUUUGAAAUUUCUACAAUUUUCCCCAAAUUUUCAUCUCAAAAUACUAAUUGAAUGAUGAAAACAAUGAUAUAUUCAUGUAUGUUAAUCAAAUCUGAGUUAGAAUCACUUACCCCGAUGAAUUUCUUGAAAAACCCACGAACAAUCGUCACAAACCGAGCUCUCUAGGUCUCAAAAAUGAAAUAAUACCCUAGGCCUCGGUUAUAUAGUACACCCUCUGACCUCCCAAUGUGCGGUCCGCAUUGCGAUCGUACAUUUCCAAGUUCUACGGUCGCACAAAAAUUGUGCGGCCGUACUUCACAGCCUCUCCACUACCAGGCUUUGGUAAAUUGGCCAUAACUUUCUCUACAGAUGUACAAAUGAUGAUAUAUUUAUCUUUCUGGAAAUUAGAAACGAAGGGCUACAACUUUUAUUUUUAAAUCAUCUCCAAAUUCCUUGUGGAUCAAAAGAUAUAAGCUUCCGAAAUCGGACCAGUGAACCUGCAGAACACCCUGAAGUGCGGCCGCGGACAAAAUUGUGCGGUCCGCAUUUUUCCUCUGCGGUCCAUAUAUUUUCAUCUACUGCAGCACAUUUUCAUCUGCUACAACACUCAAAAAUGUGCCUCAGCACAUAAAAUUGUGUGGUCCGUAUUUCCAACGUUCCAGAACAACAUCAGAGUACCGAAAUGCUCGGACUCGCUCAAAACUCACCCGAGGCCCCCGAGACCUCAAUCAAAAUACACCAACAAAUCGUAAAACAUCAUACAAACUUAGUCGAACCCUCAAAUCACCUCAAACAAUGCUAAAACCAAGAAUCAUACCCCAAUUCAAGCCUAAUGAAAAACUAAUAAUUUUCAACUUCUACCUUCAAUGCCGAAACCUAUCAAAUCAAGUCCGAUUAACCUCAAAUUUUGUACACAAGUCAUAAAUGACAUAAUGGAGGUAUUCCAAUUUUCAGAAUCGGAUUCCUGCCCCGAUAUCAAAAAGUCAACUCCCCGGUCAAACUUCCAAACUUAACUUUCUAUUUUAGCCAUUUCAAGCCUAAUUUAGCUACGGGCUUCCAAAUAAUUUUUCGGACACACUCCUAAGUCCAAAAUUACCAUACGGAGCUAUUGAAACCAUCAAAACUUCAUUCUGGAGUCGUCUGCAUAAAAAGUCAAAUCGGUCCACUCCUUUUAUUUAAGCUUCUAAACAAGGAUUGUUCUUUCAAUUAAAUCCCGAAUCAUCCGAAAACCAAAGCCGACAAUUCACACAAGUCAUAGUACACAUUAUGAAGCUGCUCAAGGCUUCAAAUUGUCUAAAGGAGCGUAUAUGUUCAAAACGAUAAGUCGGGUCGUUAUAAUAAACUACACACCAUCUGGCAACCAAAAGAACCACUCAAUCUCAUCGAUUUGGGUUACUAUUACUAUCUUAUCAAAUUCACGGUUCAAGAAACUUUCCAAAAAGUUCUGCAAAAAUGGCCUUGGUUCAUCGGUUUACGAUAUCUAUCGAUUCGUCACUCGUAGCCCAAAUUUAACCCAUCUCAAGCCCAUACUCCUUUUUCCACCAUUUGGAUCCGUUUACCACAACUUCCUACGGAAUACUGCGACCUCCAAACUUUACAAAAAAUUGGAAACUUUUUUGGUCAACUUCUUAAAAUUGAUGCCUACACCAUGCAAACCACUCGAGGACAUUAUACUCGUUUAUGCAUUCUAGAGCCUCUUGAUAAGACUCUACCCAUUGGAAUCUUAAUUGUCACUCAUCUACAACCCAUUCACUACGAAGAAAUGACCCCACUAUGCAAGCUCUGCGACUGCCUAGGACACAUUUUACACUCUUGCCCGUCAAAACUCUCAAUUGGACCCUCCAACAAUGCUAAAGCCCAACCUCAUGAACCAAUCGUGACCAAUGAUGACAAAAGCCUAUGGCAUACAGUCACUUUUCCAAAACAAUACUAGAACUACUCCACAACGUACCCAACAUCCCACCGAACCAAACACACACAUACCCCCCACUUCCCCUAUAAUUACCCAAAAACUUGCCUCUCAAGCCACCUUUAUUACCCACAGUAUUCCACUUUUCAAUUGUUUCUUUUUUCCACCCCUGACCCUACCAUUGAUAAUAAUCAUUAUUCUCAUAUUCCUAUUUAAUAUGUUCCCCCUCCUUAUGACCACACAAGUUCUCAUAUGGAUUUACAACAAAUUAUCCCACCCUACCAUGUUUCAUCUGACAAGACCCCACCCCCACCAUAGCAAUUGCAUCACCUUUUUCAUCAAAUAUAAGUAUGCAUCAAACCUCUUUCACACCAACAUGUCUUCCCUAUUUCUUCUACUACCCACAUUACUACGAAAACCAAGGCUAUUUCUCCAAAUCAUUUCUUAAAUACGGCUGCUACUACUCAUCAUAAAAAACAAGACCAAACCUACUACAACACCCAAAACCCUACUACCUCUACUUCAACAGCAUCAUCCAUACCCAACCCUCUUUCACAAUAUCACCACGCCUCCAACACAGUCAACCAGAUCCAUAUCCUUAUGCCCUCAUCUACUAACACCACACCACAUUACAUCAUACCCUACCCAAUUACGAUCACCCACUCUGAUAAACUUACUCCGUCUGCUACAGGUACUCAAGUGCCAUCGGAACUCAUGAACGCUCAACAUUUUUCGGUCACCUUGUCACCGCCAAUGCAAGGUAAUGACUCAUCCAUAGCUAUAAAACCCAAUAAUCCCAUCCAUACAUCACCACAUCUGCUAUCUUCUUCACCCAACACUCCUCUUUCUACUAACAAUGCAUCGCCACUACCCUCCAAGACAUUGCCACCACAAGAACAGGAACCAUGUACCUCACAUCCAGAUCAACAACUACCACCUUUCACCUCCACACUUUCACUACCUCUCUCACAGCCCCUCCUACUGGGUGCCCCAAUAUCACCGCCACCCCCUUUCAACCUUGUACCACUACCACCACCAGAACAUCCUCUAGUGCACCUGCCGUUAAACCUUCUCUUAUUCCAGCAACAAGUCACGACAAUACUAGACCACAACGACCUACUGAUGACGUUUAUCUAGGAUGGACUACCAGACAUCCAUCAGCAGGAUCAUGCUAUGCAAAUCCUCCAUCUAUAGGAUGUUGCCGCUUUGGAACUCAACAACCAACUUACUUAAGCUCAGCAAUAUUUCCUCCACUUCAACUACUGCCGCCAACUUUGAAUAUACCCCCACUUCCAUAAUUCUAGCCCUAUUACAAUGGCCAGCCUCAACACGUAUUCCUAGAAAUGAUGCACCACGCUCCACCAUAGCUGGACAUCCCUCCGCGACCACUGACUCUGCCUCCAUCACCACCAUUAGCCACGCCAUCAUCGGACAUUGAAGACGAAGAUCAGAACCAUCAGUCUCUACAUUACACAUUUAUGGAGAGACUGAAUCUGAACAACCUCUCACUCUUUCCAUGCAAGAAAACAUCGAAAGAAGGUACUUGAUUUUGGAUCCUCCAAUGUUGGAGAUGACCUUCUUGAAUAUCCACCUCGACCCUUACUCUGUGGACCAGAAGUAUGUCAUCUUCUUGAUACCAACACUGCGUCCACCACCACUACCUCAGGAAGAGAUGGCAAACAACCAUCAACUCAUAAUGAAUUUGGCAAUGGCAUUAGUACUGGGAGGGAGCUCAUCCCCUACGACAAAUAGAUCUAUGAAGAUCAUGUUGUGGUGGAGCCGUGGCGCCAACUACCUAGAUUUUAGGCGUAACUUGCAUUUUUUGUUUAAUUGGAAUAACCCUACUAUUCUCUGUCUCAUGGAGACUAGGAUAGAGGACCAUACCUCUCUCCUCAAUGAGUUUAACUUCACUGAUCGUAUCCAAGUUUUCGCUCAAGGAUACUCUAGUGGUAUUGUCAUGCUCUGGCGCGCACAUGACCUCAUUGUUGAUCCAAUAGCAAUUACUGCUCAGGAGCUUCAUGCUUCUGUCCAGGUAUCCCCUACUAUACCUAUUUGGUAUAUCUCAUUAAUAGAUGCUAGCACAUCAUACCACAAUCGCCAAACACUAUGGCACAACAUACAACAGUUUGCACACGCUCAUACAAAUGCAUGGACAUUAUGUGGUGAUUUUAACGAAGUUUGUAAUACUAAUGAAAAAUUUGGGGGAAAUCCUAUUAACACUAAUCGCUCUGAAGCUCUUAAUAUGUGCUUACACAAUGCUAACCUGAUUGACCUAGGCUUUCACUAGCUCGCGUUUUACUUGGAGUAAUAAACUAAUGACUCAUAAUAAACUAAAUGUUCCCGCACUCCAAUGUUCUUCAUUUACCUCGUACACAUUCCGAUCAUUGCCCCUACUUUUCGGUCUUCAUAAAGCGACUACUAGACCUCCUCCUACAUUCAAAUUUGAAAUCAUAUGGCUCACUCAUCCUGAAUUCCAAUCUGUGAUCGCCACUCACUGGCAUCACACCUCUACAUAUUCUCAAGGCAUACAUGAUUUUGCUGAUCAUGUUCAACACUAGAAUAAACAUACCUUUGGUAAUAUUUUCUACAAGAAGAAAAUCCUCAUUGCUCGCAUACAUAGUUUACAAAAAAUAGAUCCCACCAGGCAAAAUAGCUUUCAUUAUAACCUAGAAAACUGCCUUCAUAUAGAUUUCCAAACUACACUAAGACAUGAGGAGGAAUUCUGGAAACUAAAGUCAUGUAUUAAAUGGCUAAAUGACGGUGAUGCCAAUACCAAAUAUUUUCACUUGUCUACAACAUAAAGAAGAUGAUGCAACUGUAUUAUCAAUCUACAUGACCACGUAGGGAAUUGGACAUUCGACACUUCCAUAAUCAAAACUACUAUACUACACCACUUCACUGAUCUAUAUACCACUGAAUUACUUUUAUGUUACCCUGAAUACUUUACCCCAUCCACUAUCUCCAUUUCCCUUACAAAUCAACAACAACUAUCUCGCUCACUUACACUUUCUAAAAUACAUUCCUCCAUUUGCUCCUUUAAACCUUUCAAAGCCCAAGGCCCUGAUGGCAUACAUCCUGUUUUCUUCCAACGCUUUUGGAACCUUAUUCAACAUGCUAUCAUCCAAACCUGCAUGGAUGCUUUCAACAAUUGCUCCAUCCCCCCUUCACCUCAACCAAACUUUUCUCACCUUAGUCCCAAAGAUUAAGCAUCCUUCCAAUAUUUCCCAUUACCACCCGAUUGGACUUUGUAAUACGAUCUACAAAUUAAUCACUAAAAUACUGGUUAAUAAAAUUCAGCCCUUUCUGCCAACAAUAAUACACCUCACUCAAUGCAGUUUCAUUCCUGAAAGAUAGGCUGUAGAUAAUGCCAUAAUAGUACAAGAGGCAAUUCAUUCCUUCCGUAAAACAAAGGAUCGCUUUGGCAAAAUGAUGCUAAGAUUAGAUCUAAAAAAAGCGUUUGACCGAUUAGAAUGGUCAUUUAUUUCGUACUCUCUCCAAAAAUUAAAUUUUCCUACCCCUAUUAUUAACCUUAUUAUGUCUUGUGUUACUACAUUGUCUAUCUCUAUCCUAGUCAAUGGGACACCCACACGCUUUUUCCAACCUUCUCGUGGUAUCCGUCAAGGAGACCCCUUAUCAUCCUACUUAUUCAUUAUUUGUAUGGAAACUCUUUCUCAAUUGAUUGAUGAAGCUACACAACUGAAAAAUGGACUACUAUAAGGAUUUUCCGACAAGGACCAACUCUUUCUCAUCUCAUUUUUUAUGACGAUCUUAUUCUCUUUGCUAAAGCAGACUUACAAAACACUCAUGAUAUCACUAUCAUAUUUCAUCACCUUUCUAACCAAUCUGGCCAACGUAUCAAUUUUUCAAAAUCCAAACUCGUAUUUUCAAAAAAUGUAUCGUAACACACAAAUUAAUUUAAGUUGUACAUUAAAUAUUCAUACAACAUCUAAUUUCAGUAAAUAUCUAAGUUUUCCUAUGCCUAAUUUCUACCCCGAAGUCAGCUGAUUAUCAGUAUAUUCAGGAUCGCAUGAAUAAUCAUCUUCAAGGUUAGAAAAUAAAAUUUCUUUCGCUAAGUGGCAGGGCUACCCUCAUCAUAUCUGUACUUAACUCCAUACCCACUUAUGCCAUGCAAACUAACAUACUCCCACACAAAUUCCUUCAUCAUAUUGAUCGUAUCAAACGUCAUUUUUUUUGGGGUUCCACUGCAUCCCACACCAAAUUACACCUAACUAAUUGGGACCUCGUUACUACACCUAAGUACCAUGGUGGAUUAGGGAUUCAAAAAUUACUCCUAAGAAUAUGACUAUGUUAUUCAGCGUAACAUGGCGCUUCACCCAACACCCAUCAACUUUAUGGGCCAUGAUCCUUCGAGGUAAAUAUUAUCACCAUCGUAGUUCACACUAUCACUGCAUCUCUUUUACUUCAAAACCAUAAGAUUCAUACAUUUGAAGAGUAUCACCAAAAUAGCUCAUAUAUGCCAUCAAGGCACUGUAUGAAAUAUAGGUAAUGGCCAAAUCAUUAGUCUUUGGUACGAUCAAUGGAUCUCCCCCAACUUCUCACUUUGUCAACUAAUUCAAGGACCCCAACUCUCCCAUGAAUCUACAUUGCUGCUUAGCCAUAUCAUCCUUCCUUCAACCUAUAAUUUAUCAACGUUAUCCUUUGAACUCCCUACCUCUAUCUCUCUCCUUAUCCAUAACACAUAUGUGCCCUCUUCUUCUACUCAUAUGAAUUUAAUACACUGGCAACCAACCUCUAAUGACUUGUUCUCUACUGCCUCCGCCUAUCGACCGAUUCUAGAAUAUACCUACACUACCCAAAAUUAAGCAUUUUCUCUGACUUCUCCUCCAUGGUAAGUUACCCACUGCUGCUCUUCUAAACUCUCGUCAUAUUCUUCCUCGCCCUGCAUGCUCCGUUUGUGGCCAUGCUUGGGAAGAUGCUUCACAUAUAUUUACCACUUGUUUACCCGCUAUCCACAUUUGGCAAUACUUUGCUAUUUUCGUCCCCAACAACAACCCAAUACAUGGCUUCAACGCAUAUGCACUGAUACUGAUGCUACUUACAUACAUCACCGUAUUGCUAUUCCUUUCCCGAUUCUCGUCCCUUUUAUCGUUUGGCAUAUUUGGCUGACACAUAAUCAUAAUCUUUUUAAUCGCUCAGCUUUACCUGUAUUUUAUCAUGCGAUUCUCACUCAUGCUAUUGAGUUUAACUGAUUAGCCACUACUUCACAACAGCCUAAACCCACUACAAUCAUUCAUGUUGGUUGGUCUCCUCCCCUUACUAGGUAUAAACUUAAUAUUGAUGGCGCUUUUGACAAUCACUCAAAAUAUGGAGGAGCUGGUGGUGUUGUCAAAGACUCUUCUGGCAACUGGAUUAUGGGCUUCUCUAAGUCUUUGUAUCUCACUAAUGUCCUACAAACUGAAUUAUUAGCUAUCCACUUUGGCUUAUAGCUUGUCAUUGAACAGAAUCUCACACCACUUGCUGUGGAGACUGACUCACAGGUGUUAGUCACCCUUCUAUCGACGACCAGUUCUAAAUACUCACAUUUAUUUGAUGAAUGCAGGCUGAUGCUCCGUAAUCCACAAAUCCAUGAGAUCCAACACACAUUUCGGGAGGGGAAUGGAGUUGAGGGUCAAUUGGCAUGUUUUGGCAAGCAAAGGGCUUCUGAACUACAUCAUGAUGCUAUGAUUUUUGAAACACCCCCCACUUUUAUAUUGUCUCGCUUAAUGUUUGACUUAACGGGAACUAUAAUCUCGCGUUCAGUAUCCUCUAUGUACUAGUACUUUUCGUUUUUAAUAUAUCAAUGCGUGUUAUGACAAAAAAAAUGAUGGUGAGUAAUUUGGAAAUCUAGCUCGAAUAAGCGCAAAAUGAAAGAAGAAGAAGAAGAAGAAGAAGUAAUAGACAAGGCAAAAUAAUACUACUGCUUAAUUAGGAGUAAAAAAGAUCGAAAAGGAGGAGGAGGAAACAGAAGGAAACAGAAGUAGAAAAUCGUCGGUGAAAUUAAAAUUCACCAAGAACACAUGUAAGUCAAUUAUUUAUGAGAUGUUGCAGAUUGAAAUUAAUGCACCGAUGACGUCAAUUAAUAUAUACAAAGUUAAUAGCAGGAAUAUUACGAAAAUGAUAGUAUAACGUUUACUCUAGCAGGACAUAAUGAUUUAUCACAAUCAUCACAUGUUAGGAUUUGUUAUUUUUCGUUUUUGUCAUAUCGAUGAUAUAACAAAAUAAAAGUUCAAUCAAGCUAUGUCAAUAUUAGACAGACAACAAAUCCGUGUGGAGUGCAGCUGGGUUAAUAGUUAUAUUUACACCGACCCAAUAAUACUACAUAUUUUCAAAUAUAUUCUUAUUACUAAAUCAUAAUAGUAAUUUAAUGCAUAUUCUCAUAUAAAUUUAUGACUUAAUCGAUCAUAAUAAAUUAGUCUGGUUUAACAUAAGCAUCAGAUGUACCAUGGUUUUUUUAAUUCAAUAAUUGGUCACUCUUUCUAUGUGAGAAGUGUGAACCGUGAAUAUAAAAUGCGUCUCUGCUUGUGUGAACUGUGAAUAAUGAGUGCAAAUUAAAGGACGUGUCUCAUAUUAUAAAAAUUGGGAUACACGUUUUCUUCUUCUCUUCUUCCCCAGAAGACUGGAACGAACCUCAACAAGAUAUAUAUAAGCAUUUUUAUUAGUACCCAGUGACACACUACAUCUCUCAAAAUAGCAAUAUAGACAGGAAAUUAGGGAGAAAUGGGAAACUGCUGCCUAAAGCCUGUAGAUAAUCUUUCUACCACUAUUAAGCUUUCUAACCCUCCUGCAGGUAUGUACCAUUAUUUUGGUUUUGCAAUUCAUCAGAUUCUAUCAAAACAAUUCAUAUUUCCAAUUGGAUUUAUCUAUGUCCAUUAAUGCCAAUGCAAAUGAUUUUUUUACAAAAUCGGUGUAAUUUAACUUGUUGUAGAACAUUCUUGUCUUAUUUCAGGUUACUAGCUAGUUCUAUUGAUUAUGACUAAUUAUCUUUAUUACCUUUAAAAUACUACCGAGUAUAGCGGAAUAGACUCUUCAUUCUUAACCAAAUAUCUUGAAUUCGGUAUUGGAAGCUCUUCCCUUUUAGUGAGCCGCGAAUUCAAAUUAGUCAAUCUAAUAGAUUGUUGCUGCCCAGUAGUUAGGAAACAUAUGAACUUUAGUGAUAUGAUAGUGUAAAAACAAUUCAUAUAGAACUUUUUUGUGUAUAUUUUCAGCCCUUGAUUUAAAUUUUAUUAUGCCAGCAUCCAAGAAACCUAGUACUUCUCUCAUCAAUAACGCCAAGGUGGUUCAUGCCGAGGGAACCACGAACGGUGGCGGCGGCGGUGGUGCUGGAAAAGAGGAAGUGGCAACAAGUGGGAAAAUUAUAACACCCAAUUUGAAAAUGUACAGUUUUGCGGAAUUGAAAAGCACAACGAGAAAUUUUAGACCAGAUACAAUAUGGGGGGAAGGAGGAUUUGGUAGAGUUUUCGAAGGUUGGGUUGAUAACAAGACAUUAGCUCCUUCUAAAGUUGGCAUCGGAAUGGCAGUUGCUGUCAAAAAAUCUAAUCAAAUAGCCUGCAAAGUCUCAAGGAAUGGCAGUAAAAAUUUAAGUUAUAUAUACGGACAGUUGAAAAACUUGUUGGAGAAAGUUGAUCAUAUAUUUCAACAGUGAAAAUGUUAUAAAAAUUGAACACAUUUUUAUGAUUGUGUGUGCAGGCAGAGGUAAAAUUUCUGGGAAAAUUUAGUCAUCCAAAUCUAGUACAACUAAUCGGAUACUGCUGGGAAGAGAAGCAAUUCCUACUUGUAUAUGAAUACAUGCAAAAAGGAAGUUUAGAAAAUCACCUUUUCAGAAGUAAGAACCUAUAUAUAUAUAUUUUUUUUUAUCCACAUAUUUGUUACAGAAUAUUUGAUAAUUACAAGAAUAUGUUAUCAAAAAGUUUGACACAAAUAUUAUUGUCGGAAAACUAGAAGAGGGUGCAGAAACACUUUCGUGGGACACAAGACUUAAGAUAGUAAUAGGAGCAGCUCGAGGUCUAGCUUUUUUGCACACAACAGAGAAGCAAGUCAUUUACCGCGAUUUUAAAGCUGCCAAUAUUUUAUUGGAUGGGGUAAUUUCUUUUUCUCUUAUUUGUUUAAAAGUUCAAUAGUAACUUAUUAAUUUUCUUGUUUUGAAUUUCAACUUUUAAUUUACGAAUUAUACUGUAUAAUUAACAAAGAGAUUAAUUGUUCCAUAUUAAUUACUUGGGGCAGGAUUAUAAUGCCAAGCUUUCUGAUUUUGGAUUGGCUAAGUUGGGUCCUGCAAAUGGCAACUCACAUGUGACCACAGGAGUUGUUGGUACUUAUGGGUAUGCAGCUCCAGAGUACAUGGCCUCUGGUAAUUUUUACCCUCUUACUACUUCUACCUCUUAGCUAAACAUAUGAUCCCACAAGUGGGGUCUGAAAAAGGAUUGAGUGUACGCAAUCUUAUCCCUCCCUAACUUGUAUGAGAUAAAGGGACUAUUUCCAACAAAAAAAAAAACGUUUUCAAAACAACUACUAAAAUGUAGUACCAAAAUCUACAUUUUUAUAGUCAAAUUGCCUAGUGUAUAGAACAAUAUUACUUAAGUGCAUGAUUCGAAGCUCAUUAAAAGUUUUUCUCUUUUGAUUUUAUUUUUCUUAUUCAUGAACCACCCCUUCUUCAUUAAAGAAAAAAUUUAGAAAAUGGGGCUAAAUCAACAAGUUAUGGGGAGAUUGGUUUUAUGACUCAUUAGAAGUGUUGUUUAGUUAAUGACCUUUUUUGACAAGAAAUAUGAGAGAUCGAUAAAUAAAUAGGAAAUCUUGUAUGAUCAUUUUAUUUUAACUUGUAAUUGGUCAUAGAAGACGUUUCCUCCUCUUUAACUCUUUUAUGUGGGUGCUAUAUGAGCAAGACCAAUUUUAGCCCCAAAUAAAAAACAAUAAUACAACGUAAGCUCAACAUGUUUGCGAUAAUUAUUCAAACAGUCGUUGACCUUGUGCUACUUUAUUUGGAACAGGACAUUUAUACGUGAAGAGUGAUGUGUAUGGUUUUGGCGUUGUAUUGCUGGAGAUCUUAACGGGCCUCCGGGUACUGGACCUGAACCGGCCCAAUGGAGAACAAAAUCUAGUGGACUGGGCCGAACCGUUAUUACCAGACAAGAAGAAGCUAAGGAAACUAAUGGACCCAAGGCUAGAGGGAAAGUACCCUACAAAGGCUGCAUUUGAAAUAGCACAACUAGUACUCCAAUGUCUUGAGCCUGAUCCUAAAACUAGACCUUCCAUUGAACAAGUUUUGGAGUCUUUGGAAAAAAUUAACACCAUCAAGAAGAAACCUAGAGAAUGCAAUGCCACCCACAACGUUCGCCUCUCCACGUUAAGAAAACUGUAAUUGGUAGCAACACGCACCAUUCACCCAUCAAUCGAAGCUAUUGAAGACGACCUGGCGUGUAAAUAUAUAUUUCUAAAGAAUUUUCUAAAUUACAACAUCGUUAUAGCAGGAUAGCAUUAUCUUUCAUUUUUCUUCUCAUGAUUUGCCCUUUUAAGUUACACUUUGCCUUUUAUUACUUGAGGGUCAUGUUUCCCUUUUUAUUACUUGAGGGAAAACAAAUAACCUUUGGGAAAAAAUUAUUGUCAAAGUACUCAUUACUCAACCUCACUUCUCCUCCCCCUUUUACCUUCUUGCCCUCUUCUCUAUGUAAGGCAAUCUUAAUUAAGUAAGAUCUAAUGGGUAGGCAAGUAAUACUGAACAGAAGCGCAGAGUAGCACCAAAAUGAGCAAGUAUGACAUAAUUUUGGCACAAAAACUUGAAAGUGUGAAACAAGGUAACAUAGAAAGAAGAUGACCGCAAUACUUGAACAUACAUCUGGACCUUAUUCAAGUGCAACAUAUAUUGUGUCGAAGUAAACACAAGAUAUCGAAGUUUGGUACAAACAGAACAUAAAAAAAACAGUACACUUUAUAGCACAACAAACAAACGUAAUGUUUUUCUUGGUUUAGUAUGCAACUUGAAACGUUUUCCCAGUAGCGUUUUCAUCUUAGCUUCAUCACAUUGUAGGCUUUACAGUGAGACGAGAAGCGACCUUCUGACCACAAGACUUGUCAGCCUGCAAUGAAUCCGCGCAAAAGAUUAGUUUUCGUUUCCCGCUCUUAAUGUAAGGAUAAAGAAUCAUGCGAAAGAAGAAAAACUCAAACCUGAGACAAGUAUGAUAUCCAUAUACUGCGUAUCUCAUAAGUGACUCGGGGAUCAGAUAAAUGCUCAACCCAUUUGCUAACAUAUCUGUCUUGCCUGAAAUAGUACAAGUACUCAAUUAUUCUGCAGGUUCUUGAGAGAGGGAAGAAUUGGCGAUAUUAAUGUUAUAGAACAACCAAAUUAAAUUACCUGUCAGGUUCCCAGGAUCUGUAUCUCUCUCCUGCCUGCUUGAAGUUGUUCUCUUUUUCAAUGACACACUAAAACACCAAUAAUAUAUAUGUGAGUGAAGAUUAAACUCAUUUAAGAAUACAACUCCCUGCACUGAUUAAUGAUUAUGAUGAACAAUAAGUAAAGAGGGUCUCACCAUUUCACGCCUUCCUGUCAAGACACGAGAAGGAAUUGGGUACUGUUCGGCAUGACGACAAGGAUCAAACCUUGAGGGCAAAUAAUCCACCUGCAACAUCAAGUCACAACAUCAGAAGAGUACUAAUAUGAACUUGCAAUUAGCCUUGGUAAGUCAAAAACAUUAGUAUACCUCUUCAUCGCGAUGCAUGAAGUUCAUAGCACCAUCGCGGUGAUUAUUGUGAUGAGCACACUUGGGAGCAUUAACAGGAAGCUGCAUAUAGUUUGGUCCAAUGCGGUGUCUCUGAGUAUCAGCAUACGCGAAUAUCCUGGUCUGGAGAAGCUUAUCCUCCGAAUAGUAAACACCAGGGACAAUAUGGCCAGGGUUAAACGCGAGCUGCUCAUUCUCAGCGAAGAAGUUAUCAAUGUUCCUAUUCAAUACCAAUCGACCAACUGGCAUCAAUGGCAAGAUAUCCUCAGGCCAGGUCUUGGUUACAUCAAGAGGAUCAAAGUCGAAUUUGUCUACAUCCUCAGUAUCCAUAAUUUGGAUAAAAAGUUUCCACUCGGGAUAGUUUCCAGCAGCAAUCGAGUCGUAGAGAUCCUUGGUGGCGUGGCUAUGAUUUGUACCUCCGACCCUAAUAGCUUCUUCCUCCGACAUGCACUUAACACCACAAGUUGGCUUCCAGUGAAAUUUCACAUAAUGUGCUUUCCCAGCCUUGUUUAUUAAUUGAUAGGCGUGAACACCAUACCCUUCCAUGUGUCUGUAAUCUGUCGGGAGACAAACAUCAUCGAAGAACCAAGCGAAAGUAUGCAAACUCUCCGGAAGGAAAGAGAAGAAAUCAAGGAUCCUCCAGUAUUCCUGAAUGUGUGACUUUGGAUUUGGUUUCAGUGCACGAAUCGUGUCAGGGAACGAUUUUGCAUCACGAUUAAAGAAGACGGGAACGUUGUUUCCAACCAGAUCAAAGUUACCCUGAUUCAUAAAAACAAGUAAAGAUACAGAAGUAAAUUAAGAAAAUACAAUUCCAAGAAAGCAGUAAGUUGAUGUGAUAAGGCAAAUUACCUCUCUGGUGUAAAAUUUGACAGCAAAACCGCGAAUGUCCCUAAGGGACUCGGGGCUUCCACGCUCAUGGACGACAGUAGAGAAGCGGCAAAUAACAGGUGUUUGAACACCAGGAGCUCGGAGAAAAUCAGCACAGGUAAGAUGAGAAAUAUCAUGAGUGACUUCAAAGAAACCCUUGGCACUGGCACC
rnacentral:lncRNA from 1 species